GUGAAUCACUGAAGUGAUUUGAGACAGAUAUCAGGAUACUCAUGGCAAUACUAGGACUAUCAUUUUGACAGUAGCUUUUUAAAUUGGUUCUGGAUAUCUUACAUUUGAAUGGCGUACAUUCGUUUGAUUAUUUUUCUUAAACUUUUUAGGUAUUUCAGUGAAAAUUACACUAGUGAAGCUCAUCAGAUUCUUUCCCGUUCAAAUCAUCCAAAAUUAGGGUAUUCUUAUGCAAUAGUUGGAAUCAAUCUUACAGAGAUGGCUUAUAGCUUACUGAAGAGUGAAGCUUUGAAGUUUCAUCUCUAUAACUUUGUUCCUGGUAUACCAACAAUGGAACACUUUCAUCAGUUUUAUUGUUAUCUUGUCUAUGAAUUUGACAAGUUUUGGUUUGAAGAAGAACCAGAAAGCAUUAUGUAUUUCAACUUGUAUAGAGAGAAGUUUCAUGAAAAGAUUAAAGGACUUUUACUGGAUUGUAAUGUAGCACUUACUUUAAAAGUAUAAAUCAUCCACUGUAUCUUCUAUUUCUACCACAUUUUGCACAUUCAACAGAAUUUAUAUGUU
rnacentral:sRNA from 1 species